rnacentral:rRNA from 1 species
CAGGAGGAAACUCCUGCUAAUACCGCAUAGCCAUGAGCACCGCAUGGAGCUCAUGCCAAAUAUCCUUUCGGGGAUAGCGCAGGGAUGGACCUAUGGCGCAUUAGCUUGUUGGCGGGGCAACGGCCCACCAAGGCAACGAUGCGUAGCCGGCCUGAGAGGGCGGACGGCCACAUUGGGACUGAGACACGGCCCAGACUCCUACGGGAGGCAGCAGUAGGGAAUUUUCGGCAAUGGGGGAAACCCUGACCGAGCAACGCCGCGUGAGCGAAGAAGGCCUUCGGGUCGUAAAGCUCUGUUGUAAAGGAAGAACGGCGCAUACAGGAAAUGGUAUGCGAGUGACGGUACUUUACCAGAAAGCCACGGCUAACUACGUGCCAGCAGCCGCGGUAAUACGUAGGUGGCGAGCGUUAUCCGGAAUCAUUGGGCGUAAAGAGGGAGCAGGCGGCCGCAAGGGUCUGUGGUGAAAGACCGAAGCUAAACUUCGGUAAGCCAUGGAAACCGGGCGGCUAGAGUGCGGAAGAGGAUCGUGGAAUUCCAUGUGUAGCGGUGAAAUGCGUAGAUAUAUGGAGGAACACCAGUGGCGAAGGCGACGGUCUGGGCCGCAACUGACGCUCAUUCCCGAAAGCGUGGGGAGCAAAUAGGAUUAGGUACCCUAGUAGUCCACGCCGUAA